rnacentral:lncRNA from 1 species
GCUCUUUGAUACCUUUGUCUCUUCUUCUUCCCCUAGAGUCCGGAAUGCCCUUCCAAGGCCUCAGUGUUGAAGGCUUUUCCCGCCUAAUGAAUUUGAGCCUUUGCGAGCGCCGUGUGAUUGACAGAGCCACAGACUGACAGCUUCAAGUUUCUAGGGUUUAUGGCAGCCUUUUUGGACCCACGCAGGUGAGCAGGCAAUGAGAAGAACGUUUCCAUUUCAGAGCAUGGCCUUGAUUGCUUGUCUGAGUCUCCCUAAAAAUCACUUAGACUUUCGUGCAUUCAACAAACAUGUCUUGACUCUCCAAGACUUGUACCCUGGGCAGUGCCAUGAUAUGCCAUGAAUCGAUUAUGCCCUUUGCCGUCAGGGAGCUCUGACUGGCAGGAUUGGAGAAGAGGGAGCUCCAGAGGACACAAGAUGCAACUGUCCCUGGGUUUGACUAUAAAAGAGGAGCUGCUAACCAGAUUAACCCUACAAAUGACAAAACCUUGAAGAGAGAAGAAUGGUAGACAGUGGGAGGCAUUGGCUCCCAUUUAUGGCUUGGCCUGGUUAGACUCCUCACUCAAGGACACACAUUCUGCUAUGGAUGAGGGAUCAGGUGUACAGAUGUGAUGCUGAGGCUGGAGGGCCACUGAGGUAAAACAUCAGGAGAGUGCAUGAAGUGUGUCAAACUGUUUGGGAUUUAUCUUACAGUCAGGAGAGCUGUUAAGCAUUCCCAAGGAAGAGGAUGACAAGCGAGUGGGAAAUCCUGCUCACUAAGAUAUUUCUGCCUCCCCCUAAGGGCAUCCACACCUCAGAGGGAAGCCCCAUGCCCCAGUUCCACUGGGGAUCAGGGGAACUCCCCACAUUAUGAAAACACAUAUGAUGGCAGAUUAAAGAGGGGGAGUCCAGAGACCAAACUGUGAAAAGAGACUUAAAUAAACCAAUGGGUUAGUUAGCUUUGCAUCACUGUUAACAAAUACCUUAAGAGAAACAACUUAUGGGAGGAAGGCUAUGUCUUAGCUCAUGGUUUCAUAGGGUUCAGCUCAGGGUUGCUUGACUGCAUAUCUUUGGGCAGAACAUCAUGAAGGUGAGAGUGGAUGGAAGUUCCGUACCACACGGCAGACAGGAAGCAGAGAAGGAGGAAUCCAGUCACUGGAAUCCAGUCUAACAUCCACAGACACCCUUAUAGUGGUUCACUUCCUUGUGCUGGGUCCCACUGCCUAGCUCCCAGAAUUUACAACAGGCAAUGCCCCUUGCCAGGUCAAGACCUCAACAUGCGAAUCUAUUGGAUAGUUUUCUCAAAGUCAAACCAAAGUUCAUUGAGUGGCUCUUACGACGUGCAGUGUGUUCGUUUGGGGAGCAGAGAAGCUGAGGAAGGUUCCCCUGUUGGAGGUGGGUAGGUUUCAUUUUGUUUUAUAAACACUUUAUUUUUAAGUUUGUGGCUCUGUGUGUGUCUGUGUGUGGAUAGGAGCACAUGAAUGAAAGUUCCUAGACACCAUAGACAGGCAUCCAAUCCCCUGAAGUCAAGGUGGCUGUGAGCAGCCAGAAGUGGGUGCUGGGAUCUGAAUCCAGGUCCUCUGAAAGAGCAGCAAUUGCUACCCACCACUUGAGUUGUUUCUCCAUCCCAUGAAGACGGAUAAGUUAAAGGAGGCACUUACGCUGGAGAUAGCUAAGUUGAUGCAGGACUUGUGGAAGGACUUGUGCUUUUUCUCUCUCAUCUCCACCAUGAGGAACCAGUGAGUUUGGUCAUGAUACCGUUGAUUAAAACAGCAGUAGCAGGUCUACAACUGUAAUCCAAUAGAGGUUAAGCUUGGACUUAAGCCAUAGGCAGGGCUGAAAACUAGUCAUAUUCUAUAUACCAGGGAGACUAUCUUCAGUAUCUUUCACCUAGUUACAUAAAAUGCAGCUACGAUAAUCUGCAUUGAUCCUACCCUGGUGUCUGACAGUCUGUCUAGACUGCAGACAGCAGCUCCCUCUAGGCCAUUCCCAAGACUGGUCUACCAUGUCCUGCUCUGGUUCUUUGGGCAAAUUGUAGCCAUAUGUCCAGUCAGGCUGAGCAUCUGUUUGGAAAGAACACAUUUGUAGCAUGUAGACAUCCUACCUGAAUACCUUAGACCUCACACAAAACCACAAAAGUGUCUAUCACUAUCCACACAGCGUGGAGACCAAAGACCAUCCCUUGCUCUAGGAACUGGUAGGCAUUCUCUGUACUACAAAAUGAGUGCAAAGCGCCAACCUGAGGUCUCUAAUGUUGGCUUGUGACAGGAGAUCGGGACUGUUCCCACAUUUGGGGGGCAGCAGGCAAAUUGUGGCCACUGAGGACACCCCGCUAUUGUGUUCUAAUGGAUGGUUACUUCCUUCUUAGAGCAGAGAGUUCCUGCUACCUUAUCACGGUUUAAAAUAGAAUGGGGUCAGCAGCACCGUUCCACCAUUUACACGUGAUGGGAUUUCACCCAGACGCACAAGCAGGAAAACAAACAAACAAAUAAGAGCAAAACAAAAAACCCAAGAAGCUUCCAGUGACCCUCAACCACAGUUCCUGGAGACACUGGAAGCAAGAGGAGAAUACCCCUGAACGGUUCCUUCAGAGAGACUGUGGGGAAAGUGGUUUUUCUUGGGGCCCAAGAAAAUUUGGCUAAGAUCUGGGGCCGGUCACAGCCUGUAUCCCAGGCAAUAGCUCAGAGAGUGACAUGGCAAAGCAGUAAAUUACAGAGUCUUCCAGGAAUGGUGCCAGAGAACUUGACAUUUCGCAUUCCCUCACACAUUGGCAGCUGUCACCACGGGUAACAAAAUGCAGGCACUACCCACGGCUCAAUAGGUAGCCUGUCCCCCAGAAUUUAGAAGCACCAUCUCUAUCUUUGACAGUCCUGUGUCUGGGGUCGCAGCUCCAGACGUAGUUUUGAUAAGACAGAAUGGUACACACGUAGUGGGAAUGGUGUUCUGUGAAUGUACACAUUGGGUUUAGGAUAGAAUCAAAGAAGCUGACAGCUUGGGCCUGCAUAGGUUUUGUGUCAGAGUCUGCAUUAUUCCCAGUGUGUUUCCCUGUUACUAAAAUAGGACACUGUCAUUGAGGAUGAUGUGGAAAGUUCAGAGAAAAGAUACAGAGGUGAUUUGGAAACAACCGUUCUGAUAUAAUUAUCAUGUUUUGUUACAAAUCUUGAGAGAGAGAGAGAGAGAGAGGGAGAGAGAGAGAGAGAGAGAGAUUAGAUUGCAUUACAUACAAUUGACAAAUAUGUACCUAACAAAAAUAUCGCAUAAUUUAAUAUUUGUGCAACUGAGCCUGCUUUCCUGAGCACAAUGCCUCCAUCAGUCACAAGAAGUCUCAUAGCUUCUUUAUUUGGGAUAGGCUGGCACCGUAUUCAUAAGGACUGGGUUGACAGGUAAUUAAUGGAACAAAAUCAUUUGUACUUAGUAAUAAAACAUCCAUUCCUUCACCCAAUUACAUAUUGACGUCUUCUAAAUCACAAUUAGAGUAAUCAAAAAAUUGAGCCUAUAUUCCUAUCUUUUUAAUAACAUUUUUUAAAAUUUUUUGAAAUUUCCCUAUGCUUAUGCAGUGCAUAAUUGACCCAUGUGUGCACAGCCCACCCCUGUCUUCCCUGGUUCCCUCCCUGAUCCAUGCUUUUUAUUUCAUGCUUUUUAUUUGUUAACUGUUAUGAAUAAUUCCCUGAGUCCAUUUACUUGUGUCCAUGAACACAUGAGUUUGUGGUCAUCUACUGGGGCAGGAGCAAUCUACACAGGCUAUUUCCCCCCAAGGAGAAUGGAUGACUGUUCCUUCCUCAGUUGAUACCAACAUUCAGUAAUCCCUCCAAUAGGACUAAGGCCUGGGGCCUCUCCCCACUGGUGCUGGAAUUUUGGCUGGCUUGAUCUUGUACGGUCUUGUUCAGAUAAGCAGAGCCACUGUGAGUUCAUGGGGACAAUACCCUGAAAGGUCCAGAGGCAGGAUUUCACAGCACUCUUACCCAUCUUCUGGUUCUUGUACUCUUCCUAUGCCUUGUAUUCUUUCUGUGAUGUUCCCUGAACCUGGUAUGAGGAGCGAUCAGAAGAGAGUUGAGCAUUCAAUAGUCACUUCCUCUCAGCACUACUCAUAAAGCAGCUUCUCUGGCCCAGGUUGAGAGCAGCACCAUUUUUUUUCCUAGACAAGGUUUCUCUGUGUAGCCUGGCUGUCCUGGAACUCACUUUGUAGACCAGGCUGGCCUCGAACCCAGAAAUCCACCUGCCUCUGUCUCCCAAGUGCUGGGAUUAAAGGUGUGCGCCACCACCCGCCCAGCCAAGCACCACCAAUUUAUAGAUAGAAAUAAAAUAUUAGAAGGCAGUUUGAUAAUGUGGCCAUUUAGCAAAAUGGCAAUAGUAGUUUGCCACUCUAGGGCUUAUAAUAUCCCAAAUUAUGGGCCUUUUGCUAGGUUGACAGUAUCUGACUCGAAAUCUGUCCUGUGAGUCAGCUCACAUAUCUAAUGAAAAAGUAAUUGGUUACCCCCAUAACCUCCAUGCCACUAUUAUUCUAGUGGAUAUUUUUUGGCUAGCGGACAUAUCAACUUCUAGCAGUAUAUAAGCUAGCCAGCAGGGAGAAAGUUUCCUGGUCAAUUCCAGCUUGUUUUCUCUAUGUCUUUGAAAGUAUGUGGUGUCGUCAGCAAGAGUCGUACUGUCUAGUUGCAGUGGAUAAUCAAGAUUAAUGACAAUGCCCUUUGUCGUUUGGAUACCUCCCUGACUAAUAACUCUCUUGUCCAUAAGUAGUGAUGUGUAGCUUUGUGGGAAAUGUUUUAAUACACACUGGUAAGCUUGAUUACAAUGCGCUCAGAUACUUUAAUGAUUGCCAGCUGAUCUUCAAAACACAUCAAAGAAUAUUAGGAACUAGGUUUCACUUUUCAUUUGCUGGAACUUAAGAACAGAUUAACCCUUUUCCGUCUCUGAAUCAGCUAUGCAUUCUUUGAAGACUGGGUUUCUCUUGAAGGAGAGCUGGAAGCUUUAGGCAAAUGGGGAUUUAACACCCCAAAGUCCUUCAUAGAGUGUCACCUGUAUCUCUGAGAACCGUGGACAUUUUGAGCCCAUCACAGUGAUCUGGCAGUCUCUGUCACCUUCAGCCAUCUGUCAGGAAAGUGGAAUUCUGUCUUCCCAUCCACAGACAUUGACCUCACCCAGAAUCACAUCAGUAUCCAUCUCAAGGAAUUUCCAUCGACAACCGGUGUUCUGAUUUUUAAUUAGCAUUCUCCCUUCUCUACUGCCCCAGCCGUAAUGACUCUCAACAGAGGUGAGAGUCUGACAAAUGGAUGUGCUCCCAUCCAGAGCUACAUCGGCUGUGUGAGGCAGCAGCAGCAAUGUCACAAGCUGCUUACUAAAAGCAAGUGUUAAGUGGCAAUGCUGACUAUGAGAGCACAUGCUUGAAACAAGCACUCAGCUCACCAGUGGGGACCCUGAAAACACUCUCCCUGAGAAAGGACAGUCACGACAAGGGCUUAGCCUUGACUGGGCGUGGCACACAGGCUCAAUGAUUCUUCCUCCUCUGCCUUCUUCACCAUAAGCAGUGGCUAUGUGACCCUGUGACUUCUCUAAGGUCUUCUGUAUUGACUUAUCAAACUCUUUCUGCUGCCCAUCAGGUUGGAAUCACUCUAUUCUGUCCAUAGACACAGAGUUACAUGGAAAAGUGAAGCUACCUGGUGGUGGUGGCACAUGUCUUUAAUCCCAGCAGUACAAAGGCACAGACAGGCAGAUCUCUGAGUUCGAGGCCAGCCUGGUCUAUAGAGUGAGUUUCAGGACAUCCAGGGCUACACAGAGAAACCCUGUAUCUUGGAAAAGGGAGGAGGAGGAAGAGGAGGAGGAGGAGGAAGAGAGAAGCAACUGCGGCUAGAUUUAUCUACCCGAGUGGAUUCCGAGGCUCUAAGAACUGCAUACACUGAUUAUGUAAACUAGAUCAGUAUUUAUAUGUAUAUAUUAUUUUCUUCUUAAAUUAUAUAUUUAUUGGUACAUACUUAUUAUAUAAAAUGAUGGGUUUCAUUACGUCGUUUUCACUCACGUGUGUCACAGACACUUUUAUUUACUGCCUUACCUUCUCUUGUUCCUUCUUCUUCCCUUCUCCGAUUGGUUUUCUUCCUCUUCCCAAAUCUGUAUGUGUAUGUUCAUGUGUAUGUGUAUGUAAACAUGUAUGUAUAUAUAUAAAUGUGUAUGUGAGUAUGCAUGGACACGUGCAUGUGUGUGUGCAUGUGUA